GACAGAGGUGCCGAGCGUUAGGCGGAAUCACUGGGCUUAAAGCGCGUGUAGGUGGCGGCCUAAGUACCUUGUGAAAUCCUGCGGCUCAACCGCAGAACUGCUUGGUAUACUGGGUCGCUUGAGUCAUCCAGGGGCAACUGGAACAAGCGGUGGAGCGGUGAAAUGCGUAGAUAUCGCUUGGAACGCCAAAGGUGAAAACAGGUUGCUGGGGAUGUUCUGACACUGAGACGCGAAAGCCAGGGGAGCGAACGGG
rnacentral:rRNA from 1 species